UCCCUGUCCUGAGCCUAUGCAAGCUUUCUAGAAGCUCAUACUGUGAAAAGAAUUGCACAGCAUAUGUUUAGACACAGUGCUGGGUUUUCCUUGGGCUUGCUCUUAAGUUUGGGCAAAUGCUCCCUAGUAAUGUGCACAGCUGGGCAUCCCUGAGGCUUGGAGCUGGCAAAACCUUUUGGGAUGGCCUUAUCCCUUGGGUUGCAUGUGGGCAAUGACCCCAGGCUCCAAAUCCCAGCAGAGUCAAAUGGGACCAUACUCCUGGACUCCUGACUUCCUGGAUGCUGCUAUUCUUUCUAUGCAGCUGUCUCACCCUUGUCAUAAUGGGAAACUCAGGGCAUAACAUUCCACUUUACUGCAACUUGGCUUCUCGAAAUAUCUCUUCUCUUCUGUGCAAAGAUCAUGACUCAGUUCUUCCUUCUUCUGUGGACAAUGACAAGACAUUCAGCCAGUCAAGCAAGUCCCAUGGGAAAGCCCCAUUUUGGCCAGCAGAGACAGUUCCUCUUUAUCUCCCGAGAACACUACCCUUUUGCUCCCCUUUCCAGGUAGUCAAACAGCUAACUGUUCACCAGCAGGUUAGCAGCUGAGCCCAGGGCUUUGAGGGACAGAUGACAGCUGGAUGGCUGACCAGCUUGCAGAGAAAGCUUGAAAUCUUGGGCACACAGGGAAUGCAGCAAGAGAUUUUCCCAUUUGGACAUACCGAAGAGUAAGUUCUCUUUGAGAGACUGGUGAGGAGUGAGAUGGGGUAGAAUUCCAGGAAAAGGGGAUGAAGUUUGUUUCUCACGCAAACAUGCCAUCAGCAAGGUAUGGGCUCUAGGCUGAGCUGACAGCAGCAGAUAGGGCUUGAUGAGCAUGACUUCCAGCCUGCAGAGAGAGCUGCAUUCCCGCAAGAAGGGAGCACAUGGCCCCAGAGCAGCUGUAGGCACCAAUGUCCCAGGAAAGAAGCAUUCUGGGGCCAGGAAGAUCCUGCCAAUACUUCACUUAUAUCAUAAUAUUUAAUUCUCAGCCAUUUGUGAAGCUCCAGCAGAUGUGACACAGACUGGAAGUGAUGGACCCAGACAACAAUCAGAACCAAAGCACUAGAUGAGCCACCUCAGCCACAUGAGCCAUGCCAGCCACCCUACCUGUGACCCCACCUGUGGCCCAGUCAUCAUGGAGCAGAGAUACUGCAGAAAAGAAUGAGGCCCUGUACAGUUCACGGCAAUAAAGGCUACAUGAAUUGAGUGCCACGAGGGAGAAAUAAGCAGGCUGAGCUGACCCAGGGAGGCUUCUCAGAGGAGGUGUUUUCGGGAAUCACCCCAAGUCACAAAUGGGAGGCCUCAGCACCCAAGAGGAUGAAAUCAGCCCAGGAUCAUGCCAGCCAGCCCGUGCCACUCACAGCCACUGAAGUGCUUGUCUGAGUCUUGCUGGAAACAUGGGCCCAUGUUAGUGAUUAUGAGCCUUGCAGCAGCAGACUCAAAGCUUUCUCUGCUGAGAAGUUUCCAGCAGUUCCAUCAGUGUGAGCCGGGAACUGAUGACCUCAACGACCUGGAGCAUGUCCCUAGAGCACAGAAAGCAAAGGACCAUCUCUGCAGGCAAAGCAGGAGUGGUGCCUGCCAGUAUCUGCUAAAGGAAGUCGGAAUGUGCAGGUGCUGGGUCCGCAGUCACUGCUAAAUGAAGAUGGAAUGUGCGGGUGCUGGGCACAGCGCUGGGCCUGCGUUCACUGCUAAAUGAAGAUGGAAUGUGUGGGUGCUGGGCACGGUGCUGGACCCACGGUCACUAUUAAAUGAAGACAGAAUGUGUGGGUGCUGGGCACAGCACUGGGCCCAUGGUCACUAUUAAAUGAAGAUGGAAUGUGGGUGCUGGGCAUGGUGCUGGGCCCAUGGUCACUGCUAAAUGAAGAUGGAAUAUGUGGGUGCUGGGCACAGCGCUGGGCCCACGUUCACUGCUAAAUGAAGAUGGAAUGUGUGGGUGCUGGGCCUGUGGUCACUGUGAAGUGGUGGGGCGGGGCUGUUUCUACCUCACUGCUGCCCUGUCCCCACUAGGCUUGCUCUGGCCUUCCUGUUGCCUGGUGCCUUCCCUUUCUUGCUGCUUCAGAACAGGCAGGAUAAUCUCUCUCCAGGGCAACGAAUGCACUUGGGCCAGGGACUCCUCACCACCAGCUUGAGGGGCUGUGCCCAACUCCGCCUCCUUCAGGAGGGUGUCCCAAGUUCUGUCCUUGCCUAAGCAGCCGGCACCCAUGCUCAAAAUAUUUAUUGCCCUCAUGCCAGCUGCUCUCCCACUUGUCCUGUCAAAGGGAGAGUGGGGGCCUGGGGGAUCUUGCUGCAUCCCAGCCCAAGCCCAUCAGAUGUGGGGAAUUUUGCCCCUCUGACCCUGCUCCUCAUGAGGCACAGGCUGCGUGAUGUGACAGCCCCAGCACUACCUGAGCCCGUGGGACUCAGCUCUUCAUCCUCUCAGGGCCUCUUUUGGUCUAGGUGCCCAGGGCACUGAGAGGGACCUGGAGUGACAGGAACACAUGACCCAUGGAGCAGAGGUGGAGCAGCCGCUCGGAGUGGCUGUGUGCCCUCCCUGGGUGUCAUUCCCUCUCUCUUGUCCUACGAGCUUGGGGUGCCCAUGCUUGAGGCAGGAGGCUGUGUGCUCCUGGGAGCUGGCCAUGGUGCCAUCUUCCAGGACCAUUUCUCAUGCCUCCUAGUUUCCAGUCCAUCCUGACUCCCCUCCUUCUGGGUCCUCCGCGGCACAAUGAUAUAUUUCAUAUUUCUAUGAAAGGGGUGUCAUGUCUCAGCCCCCACACUGGCACACACACACACACACACACACACACAUAUAUAUAUAUAUUUUUUGCCAAGUAAGUCAGCUUGGACUCAAAUGUCAGUUUCUUUGAACAGAUUUGUCAAUGACUUCAAAUUAAACUCUCCCAUUUGAGGAAUGGCAGGUGCUGCCCUUAAUAUAUCUUGCAGGCCUGUGAGUGACAGGUGUGGGGCCUGUUCACCUCAGAUCAACCCUCUGGGCCUUGGUGAUUGCAUCUGUACAAUGAGCAUCACAAACAUCCUGCCACCUCAGACACCCUGAGAUUGUAAAAUGAGGUGAAAACUUGCUGAGCAAGGGAAAUGAUCCGUUAGCAAGGACAUAGGCAUCCUCUCCCAAGCUCUUAGCUCUUGUCGAGGUUCCCAAGAGCGCACCUCUAUAAAAGUUCUAAAUCUGAAGGCGUUCAACUCAUUAGCCAGGAAAAACACCUUCUUGCUCACUCUUGUCAGACUUUAGAAUGUCAGCAUAUGAACAAGCUGGAAUUUAUAUUCAUAGUGUUGGCCGCUGUUUGGCACUUGCUUGGAUUUUGAGAUAUGAAUUAUACUUGUGAGCGUGUCCUGCUCUAGGGCUUAAGUUA